AAGGGGGGCAGGUGACCUGCCCAAGGAGGGGGAAGAAGGGACAGCAGUUGGCACUCUGUCCCGAAACUCACUUCCAGCCAAUUGAGAAUUCCCUGCUGCCAAAUAGCAGGAUUAACCACAGCAACACAAUCUUCACAACAACCUUAAGAAAUGGCUGCUAUGAAUAGUCUCGGUUUACUGAUGAAGAAACGUGACUUGGAGAGAGGAGUAACUAAGAAGGUCACUGUGAGUGAAAAGUAGUGGCCGGUCUCCUUGCUGCGCUAGGUCUACCCUCUCCUCUUCUGCUUCCAACCAUAAGCGAACGGAAACUUGGAGAAACACCUGGGCAGCGACCCUGGUGGCAGUAACAGCAGCAGCUACAACCCUGAGGGUUCCCCAGCCGAAGUCUGUCCCUUUCGUUAGCGUGUUGAAGGCUGCACAGCUGACGUGUGCCAUUCGGGCAGGCUGAUGCGUUCGACUGCCCGGGAGGGU